AACUGUGAGACAGGUGCUGCAUGGCUGUCGUCAGCUCGUGUUGUGAAAUGUUGGGUUAAGUCCCGCAACGAGCGCAACCCUUAUCCUUUGUUGCCAGCGGUCCGGCCGGGAACUCAAAGGAGACUGCCAGUGAUAAACUGGAGGAAGGUGGGGAUGACGUCAAGUCAUCAUGGCCCUUACGACCAGGGCUACACACGUGCUACAAUGGCGCAUACAAAGAGAAGCGACCUCGCGAGAGCAAGCGGACCUCAUAAAGUGCGUCGUAGUCCGGAUUGGAGUCUGCAACUCGACUCCAUGAAGUCGGAAUCGCUAGUAAUCGUGGAUCAGAAUGCCACGGUGAAUACGUUCCCGGGCCUUGUACACACCGCCCGUCACACCAUGGGAGUGGGUUGCAAAAGAAGUAGGUAGCUUAACCUUCGGGAGGGCGCUUACCACUUUGUGAUUCAUGACUGGGGUGAAGUCGUAACAAGGUAACCGUAGGGGAACCUGCGGUUGGAUCACCUCCUU
rnacentral:rRNA from 1 species